rnacentral:rRNA from 2 species
GCAUCCGUAGCCGGCUGCUCAAGUUUCCGGUUAAAUCCACACGCUUAACGUAUGGGCUGCCGGAAAUACUGUUCAGCUAGGGAGUGGGAGAGGUACACGGUACUCAGUAGGAAGGGGUAAAAUCCUUUGAUCUAUUGAUGACCACCUGUGGCGAAGGCGGUGUACCAGAACACGUUCGACGGUGAGGGAUGAAAGCUGGGGGAGCAAACCGGAUUAGAUACCCGGGUAGUCCCAGCUGUAAACGAUGCAGACUCGGUGAUGCAUUGGCUUGUGGCCAAUGCAGUGCCGCAGGGAAGCCGUUAAGUCUGCCGCCUGGGAAGUACGUACGCAAGUAUGAAACUUAAAGGAAUUGGCGGGGGAGCACAAGCCG